rnacentral:tRNA from 1 species
UUUUUUAUGGCUGAGUAUAUAAGCGAUAGAUUUUUAAUCUAUUGAGAGAAGAUAAUUCUUU